AGGUGUUCAGAGGGAUGAAGUAUCUCUCCUACAAAGACAGGUUGAGAGAGUUGGAAUUGUUCAGCAUGGAGAAGAGAAGGCUCCAGGGAGACCUUAUU